CGCUCGUAGUCGGAUUUCGGGGCGGGCCCGCCGGUCUGCCGAUGGGUAUGCACUGGCGGGCGCGUCCUUCCUCCCGGAGACGGCUGCUACUCUUAACUGAGCGGUGGUCGGAGACGGGAUAUUUACUUUGAAAAAAUCAGAGUGUUUCAAGCAGGCAGUCGCUCUUGCAUGGAUUAGCAUGGGAUAAUGAAAUAGGACUCUGGUGCUAUUUUGUUGGUUUCGAGCACCGGAGUAAUGAUUAACAGGGACAGUCAGGGGCACUCGUAUUCCGCCGAGAGAGGUGAAAUUCUCAGACCAGCGGAAGACGAACCACUGCGAAAGCAUUUGCCAGGGAUGUUUUCACUGAUCAAGAACGAAAGUUAGGGGAUCGAAGACGAUCAGAUACCGUCGUAGUCUUAACCAUAAACCAUGCCGACUAGGGAUUGGAGGAUGUUCCAUUUGUGACUCCUUCAGCACCUUUCGGGAAACUAAAGUCUUUGGGUUCCGGGGGGAGUAUGGUCGCAAGGCUGAAACUUAAAGGAAUUGACGGAAGGGCACCACCAGGAGUGGAGCCUGCGGCUUAAUUUGACUCAACACGGGGAAACUUACCAGGUCCAGACAUUGUGAGGAUUGACAGAUUGAGAGCUCUUUCUUGAUUCGAUGGGUGGUGGUGCAUGGCCGUUCUUAGUUGGUGGAGUGAUUUGUCUGGUUAAUUCCGUUAACGAACGAGACCGCAGCCU
rnacentral:rRNA from 1 species